GUAAAAUGUAAAUAAAACAUAAGAAGCAUAAGAUUUUGGUAAAAUAUAGAUCAUCGUAUCAAAGCCAUUGCGAAAAGGUAGAAGUGAAUUUGGUGAUGCAAAAAUUAGUUUAUCGGAUCUUGAGUGAAAUAUAAAAAGCAGAAUUAUUUAUGUGUUUUCGUUCGGAAAUUAGUUCUGAGUUUCGGAUAUAGCUAUUGAAAAGUUGAAUCCUGCGGUAGUAAACGUACCCUGAAAAGAAAAGAAUAGUUAAAGGAAACUAGGCAACUAUAAAUGAACUAGCCCAGCGGUGAUGAAACCUGUGAAGGAAGAAAGGGAUCGAAGAGAAACUAUAAAUUGUAAGUUUGAAAAUUGUUAAUCGCACUAAAGAAUAAUUACUAACUUAAUAAAUUUAGUUUCAAGCUGCUGUAAUCGAAUAACACUGCUGUGGAAAUUUUAUUUCGAGAACUGGUCCGAACAUGA